AGAGUUUGAUCAUGGCUCAGAUUGAACGCUGGCGGCAGGCCUAACACAUGCAAGUCGAGCGGUAGCACAGAGAGCUUGCUCUCGGGUGACGAGCGGCGGACGGGUGAGUAAUGUCUGGGAAACUGCCUGAUGGAGGGGGAUAACUACUGGAAACGGUAGCUAAUACCGCAUAACGUCGCAAGACCAAAGUGGGGGACCUUCGGGCCUCAUGCCAUCAGAUGUGCCCAGAUGGGAUUAGCUAGUAGGUGGGGUAACGGCUCACCUAGGCGACGAUCCCUAGCUGGUCUGAGAGGAUGACCAGCCACACUGGAACUGAGACACGGUCCAGACUCCUACGGGAGGCAGCAGUGGGGAAUAUUGCACAAUGGGCGCAAGCCUGAUGCAGCCAUGCCGCGUGUGUGAAGAAGGCCUUCGGGUUGUAAAGCACUUUCAGCGGGGAGGAAGGCGGUAAGGUUAAUAACCUCAUCGAUUGACGUUACCCGCAGAAGAAGCACCGGCUAACUCCGUGCCAGCAGCCGCGGUAAUACGGAGGGUGCAAGCGUUAAUCGGAAUUACUGGGCGUAAAGCGCACGCAGGCGGUCUGUCAAGUCGGAUGUGAAAUCCCCGGGCUCAACCUGGGAACUGCAUUCGAAACUGGCAGGCUAGAGUCUUGUAGAGGGGGGUAGAAUUCCAGGUGUAGCGGUGAAAUGCGUAGAGAUCUGGAGGAAUACCGGUGGCGAAGGCGGCCCCCUGGACAAAGACUGACGCUCAGGUGCGAAAGCGUGGGGAGCAAACAGGAUUAGAUACCCUGGUAGUCCACGCCGUAAACGAUGUCGAUUUGGAGGUUGUGCCCUUGAGGCGUGGCUUCCGGAGCUAACGCGUUAAAUCGACCGCCUGGGGAGUACGGCCGCAAGGUUAAAACUCAAAUGAAUUGACGGGGGCCCGCACAAGCGGUGGAGCAUGUGGUUUAAUUCGAUGCAACGCGAAGAACCUUACCUGGUCUUGACAUCCACAGAACUUACCAGAGAUGCAUUGGUGCCUUCGGGAACUGUGAGACAGGUGCUGCAUGGCUGUCGUCAGCUCGUGUUGUGAAAUGUUGGGUUAAGUCCCGCAACGAGCGCAACCCUUAUCCUUUGUUGCCAGCGGUCCGGCCGGGAACUCAAAGGAGACUGCCAGUGAUAAACUGGAGGAAGGUGGGGAUGACGUCAAGUCAUCAUGGCCCUUACGACCAGGGCUACACACGUGCUACAAUGGCAUAUACAAAGAGAAGCGACCUCGCGAGAGCAAGCGGACCUCAUAAAGUAUGUCGUAGUCCGGAUUGGAGUCUGCAACUCGACUCCAUGAAGUCGGAAUCGCUAGUAAUCGUAGAUCAGAAUGCUACGGUGAAUACGUUCCCGGGCCUUGUACACACCGCCCGUCACACCAUGGGAGUGGGUUGCAAAAGAAGUAGGUAGCUUAACCUUCGGGAGGGCGCUUACCACUUUGUGAUUCAUGACUGGGGUGAAGUCGUAACAAGGUAACCGUAGGGGAACCUGCGGUUGGAUCACCU
rnacentral:rRNA from 1 species